rnacentral:lncRNA from 1 species
GAACAAAUCUACAUAUCCAGAUCCAAAAGUUUUCUUUGGUUUUACAUAAUGAGUGUGAAUGCUCCUAACCCAGACUAUUUAGUAGAAAAAAGCACAUGGCACUUAGAGGACUAAGCGCAGCCAAAACUUCUUUCAUGAUGUCCGGACUCCCUGGAACUUCAUUCAGGUUUAGAGACCACAGAACUCAAGGCAGACCCAUUUACAGAGCAAUCACCACUCCAGCCAGCCAUCCUGGCCCUUCCAGCACCCAAGGCUGAGGAUAACUGAGAUCCAUGGAUUAGUACUGUCUUUUAUGGAGUAAAAGAAAAGAAAUCCAAAUUGUCCUUUCAUUUCAUUUGAGGAAUUAAAAAACCCUGUCAUUUAUUUGGGAGCCUAAGUCUCUAUUGCACAAUGAAUAAUUGAGUGAGAUUGUUAUUAUAAGACAAAAGUUAUCUGGAUUAUUUUAAUGGAUUAGUAUGGAACACAAAGCUACUAAACAAACUAAUUUGAUUAUUUUCCC